UGGGCAGCUGUGUCAUGCUCCUUCCUUUGUGCUAGGUUGUUACCUGGCCCUAAUGAGGACAUAUACUAAUGCUAUGAAGUAUUUAUUUUUUUUUUUCCCUGUCAAAUAGUUUUAGGUUUGAGAGAAGAUGGAAGGUGAAGCCUCUUGCCCUAUUAAUGUCUUUGGCAGUUCCCUAAACAACAGCAGGACUGACACCUGGAAAAGGAAUUUGUUUGGUUUUCUGUUCUGUGAUACUGCAAAGUCAAAUUUCACUCAAGCUCUGCCUUUCUUACAGUGUAUCAAUCACUGAGUUUAUUUCUUGGUGCAGAAGCCAUGUGAGAUGCUUGCUCAUCUCCAGCACUGAAACCAGAGGUUCACUCUAACUGCAGGACAGCAGACAUGGCACUGAUUUUAGAUUUUAAUGCAUAGCCUUGAAGUUUAUUUUAUUCAGACACAGAAGAAGGGAUGAUCAAUUCUACAGAAAAUGUGGAAACUGUAGGGUUAGGAAGCCAUUUGCCACUGGGAUUCAGCUACUAGUGAUAUUACUAGCAAAGAAAAGCAGAAGUGGAAAAUGAAAGUAAAAAAUGAAGAGAUCUGGUUUACUUGGGGCAGGGAACUUCGGCUCAGAAGUUUAAAGCAGAAGUUACUUAAAAAUUAAAUAGGAAGUUGAAAUGUCAGACUCGUCUCAGACAUCAAAAAUAUAUUCCAGGCAAAGGGUCUUAUCAAGCAAAUCUCACUGCUGUGAGAAAUGUUACAAAACUAGUAGCAAAUUAAACUGUUUCAAUUUCUGGACUUGGCUGAAAGCAUUAUGCCUGAGACCCUUUGAAUUUUCAGAGCAGUUCUCAAUGCUAUAAUGAUAUAAUUCUGGUCUCACUAAUGAUUUGAAUUUUGAUAUUAACAAUCUGUUAAUUAAUAUUUCACAGAAAAUGGUUCUAUAUGAUGAAUUUUUAUGGGAAAAAGAUCCAAUCUUCAAGAGAUUAUGAAGCCCUUUCAUUCUGAAAAAAUAUAUAUAUAUUCCUUACGCAGAUCAUUUCAUCUGCACAUGUCACAGUUAAUACUUCUAGUAUUUUUCUUAAUUUAAAAAAAAUAAAUUUGUUAUUCUCCUUGUGUCCAGGUUUCCAUACAGUGGGGUGGAAUGCCAUACUUGCCCUCAUGGCAUCAGGCUGGUACUAGUGCACAUCUGCAGGGGAAAAGAUGAUAAUUUAUUUUGGCUGGUGCUUAUACAAAUUUUGUUAGACUCCACACGAACUCUUAGAACUAAUUUCAAAGCUUUUCUGAUGAUGUUAGUGAUGACCUCAGACUAUGCUGACAUGGCACCUCUAUGUAUCUCACCUCAUGGAUAAUUCAUUAAAAUAAAGUAGGUUAAGCCACUGACUGGCCAAACAGGCUCCUACUUCAUCUCAGAAACCAGUAAGAAACUUCUCUGUGUUGUAGUUCCUGGCUUUCUUUCCAAGUCAGCUCCACACUCAUUUAAUUAGAAAAGAGAAGCUGAUGUGCUGACUGAUGAUGGGGGCAGGAGAAGUGUUACCAAAGUGAAAGAGGGCAGAGAAAAGGGGAUUUUUUUUUGUUUUGUUUUUUUUAAAAAGUCUCCUUUUUCUUCUCAGCAUUUUGUCUAUCUGUCUUGGGCUCCAGAAUUUCCUGAGCCUUUUCUGGUUAUCCCCACUGACAGAAAGGGAAAAAUGGGCUGAGUUCUGGCAUUCUUAGCCCUUCAAAGCAAAGCUGUUGAAGAGUGUUACAAGGAAUGAGAGACCCAGCUGAGCUCUCUGUGCUCACCCACAGCUUGAACAGCAGAAACACUCUAAAUCAGGCAUUUCAAGUUUAGAUGCAGGCUGUGCAGCUGCUGUUUUAUCUCUGCAGUGGGAAGGCCCGGGCCAGUGGCUGAAUUCAUUGUAGGUAAUUCAGAUUAUUUUAUUUGGAAAAAAUCUGCUUGCUGUAACUCAGAUUGAGCCUUAUCUAGCAUGAGUUUACCACCUUCUCAAUCCACCUACUACUGAGCAGCAAAGAUAGUGAGUGCUGUGGCAUCCCUUUAUUGUGGCUUAAGUGUGCACAGACUCUCCUCUAUGUAGGAGGGCAACAGGCAGAGUUUCCACUGAAACGAGUUUAACUUGAAGGUCUCCCAUGCAUUGUCUCAGUGGCUGGAUUUCCCAGGGCACACACUUUUUAAGUAUCUUUUUUUAUAAUUAUGAACUGAAUUCUUUCCAAAUGAGCUGCAUUUGCUGCGGCAAGGUGCAGAUAGAUGUGUGCUAAGUAGCACACUGUAUUCUGGCUACAGCUUCAAAGCAGCAGCAGUGAUUCAGUGAUAAAGCCUUAGGACCAGCAGUGUGUCAGGCAGGGCAGCUGCCUUGGGUGCUUAUAGGGGUCUGUGUGCCAUUUGUUUUGUUGCUUUAGAAAGGCCUAAGUGAGGAAAAGCAGGGUGCACACCUGCAUGGCUUCCUGCAGCAUGGUGGGGACUGUUCCUCAUAAAAAUGGAGCACCUUCAAAUGCAAUAGGAUCUGUCAGGCUGAGAAAGAGUGAUGGGCUCCUGUUAGCAUCAAUAGCAAAAGGUCUUUGUACACAAAUUGGUAAGUAUACCGUGAAAACCAUCACUCAUAUCUGAAAAUCCUGGUCUUUUCUCUGAAUUAAAAAACCCUGUUUGCUUAUAUUAGAAGAAAAAGUUAUGACCUUUUUUAGUGAAGUUGUAAUUAUGUCUGCAAGCUAAGAUUCUUGCUGCAGCAUUUUCUGACACUGACAGUUUCACUGUGGUGACAUCACCACAGUUGACCUCAGCAACCUGAAUUUCACCCAUUGGCCUGAAAAAUAUGAGAACAAAAAUGUAUGCAAAGACGAAUAAAUAUUAAAAUAUUGCUAGAGGCAGCUUGCUGCCACAGUGUCUGGGUGAGCUUAUUGACUGCUGGCCAAGUCUGCAACACAGCCCCAGCUUCAAAUGCCAUAGCACUCUGAUGACCCUAUAUUGAACACCUACUUUAAAGCAGCUCAUAUUUUUUCCUAAAUUUGGCCUGUGUCUUAAUAGAAGUAGUUUUGUUUCUUAUAACCCAACCAUAAUGCAACCAUAGGGGGUUUCACAUUCAGAGACAGACAGUUUGAGCUGUAUAUUUAAUUUCUUUUCCUAAAGAUCUCUUCAACAUCCAGGAGAAAAGAAAAAAAGUGUCCUUGUUUGAAAUAUCACUGCUCAUAUGAUAAUUCGGGUAAAUAUUAAUUUUAAAUAAGUGUAGAAGAAAAAGCAGCAGAAAAAAAAAGCCAUAGUUUCUGUGUCUCUAACUUCCAGAUUAAUUUAUAAUUUGACUGUCAUUAUCGUUGUGGUUAUUUCCUUUUCUUACUGUAUGGUGUGAUCACCUCAGCCAGCAAAUCCCCACCCAGCCGAUUACAUACUCCCCCACAGUGGCAUGGGAGAGAGAAUCAGAAGAGCAACAGUGAGAAAACUUGUGGGUCAAGGUAAAAAAAGCAGUUUUAAAAAUGAGGAGAAAGAGUAGGGGGACACAAACUGAUGCAGAAGAAGUCACUUCUCACCUCCCACAAGCAGACCAGUGCCUAGUCAGUCAGCCUCCAAAGAGGGAGGAAAGGCCAAACCCCCAGUUCUGUGGCUGAGCCUGGCACUGUGUGACAUGCAGCACCGUUUUGGUCAGCCCGAGGUGCUGUCCUGGCUGUGCCCACUGCCAGCCUCCUGCCAGCCCUGUGGGCGACAGAGCUGAGGAGAAGAGAAAGCCCUGACAUCCUGCAAGCCCUGUUCAGCACCACCUCGAAUACUGGUGUGCUAUCAGCACAAUUUUAGUUGCAAGCUGGCAAGGUGCAGAUGUGAUGAAACAAUUAACUUCGUUGCAGCCACCCCCAGCACACAGCUUCGUUUAAAAGUUUUCUCUUUUUUUCCUCUUUCCCCAGUGCAGCUAUUUGCUGUUUUUCCCAUUCUUUUGCACCAUCACAUCUUCUCUAUGAUUCUUCACACUGCUGCCUUUCCCAAAAGAAGUUUGUAACUUCAUCAGUGUUUUUGUGCACCCAGGCAGGCAGGGAGGGGAAGUGGGGAGCCAUAUAAAUAUGUUUUGAACUGUGUAGGCUAACCAACAACUCACAUCUGCGUCACAGCUCAACAUUCACUUGAAGAAAACCAAGUGUACUAUAUCAGAAAAUUUCAGCUCUGUCUCAAAUUACACUUCACAAGAUCAACAAAGACACCACAAAGAAAAUAGUUCAGCUUUGCAGCCUAGAGGAGCUGUAACUGUCGUCCUUUGCAUUGUACUUAAGUGCUGCUGUUUUGUAUAUAGCUUAAGGUUGUUUCAUCAAUUUUCUAACUUUUAACAAAAUCUUAAUUUUCUACUUAGUCAUUUCACUGUAUUUCAUCCCAGCUCUGAGCAACACCAGCUUAAACUGAAAAUGAGAAAAAGCAAUACGAAUUUCCUUUCUUGUAGUGAAAAUAUUAAUACUUCAAUAGGAAGAAGAAAGGCUUUAUUUGGAAAGGUAAGAGAGAAAAGAUGGGGUGGAAAAAAAUGAGAUAUACUGGUAACAUUUCUCUUAAGACUAGAGUAGAAGUUGCUUUAGGUAAGGUAGUCUGUAAAUUUUUCUGAUGUUAUUCUGAUACAAUUCUGAAAGUGAAUUCUGAGGUGUUUUUCUCCUUACUUUGCAAAAUCAACUUUUAGUUAGUGUUCCUAAACACUAACAUGUACAUGUAUUUACGUUAGUACACGUGUGUAUUAAGAAUCCCUAGUCCAUCACUUUCCAGUGACCUCAAAGAUUUUUGGUGUAAUUAAAAAAAAUAAAAAUAGAACUUAUUCUCCCUUCACAGAAGAAAUCAUUAACUAAUUUUAGCCUAUCCACCACUUUAGAUCACAUCUCUGUUGUUUCUCUUGCUUGUCAUGUGGCUGUGAGAGUAGUGAGUCUUCUGUCUCAGGCGGUUCCUCAUUUUAGAAGGGGAAGGAUUUUUAUUGUCAAGCCUUUGUGCAGUGUAAACACUUUUUUUCUCCCCCCCCCCCAUUCUCUUGAUAGGUGGUAGGGAUUUGGGAUCUGCCUCCGCAUAAGGCAAUUCUGCUGGUGAGGAUGUCUGUAUGUUUUAAAGAAGAGCAUUUAUCCCUCUUACAGGCUUGAAAAGAAGGUCAGAAUUCACGAUAACUUUUGUUUUUCUUUCAAACACUUGCCAAGUAACGUCAGAGCUCAGUUAAACCAUGCACCAUUAGAGUGUGUUGAACUUGUCCCGAGCUAUCGCGCCAGCCCCCUUGGGGAGCCCGGGUGCCCACACGGCUGCGUUCGGGGCCAUGCCUGUGCCUCCCGCCGCUCCCCUCUCCCCGCUCCUCCCUCCCAGCUCCCCGCUCCUCUCCCCGCUCUGCCCGCUGCUCCCUCCUGCGGAGCCCCGCGCCGGGCCCGGCCUGCUCCGGAGGAGCAGCGAGGGAAGGCAGCCAGAGUGCGCUAUGGGCCUGGGUGCCCGGUGGGACUGGGGGAGGUGGAGCUGGCGGGAGCCGCCGCAGAGGAGCGGGGCCGUCACAACAGCUGCUCAUAACGUGAGGCGGCCGAAACUGCGCCGUAGCCGCGUUCUCCUUGGCGUGGGAUGGGAAAUAGAAGGUGUGUUGAUCCAAAGAUACGUCAAAGGUGGUUGGUGUCAUUGUCCUGGAAGUGUAACAGACUGAAAAGGUGCAUUUCUGACAACAAUUACGCUUGUAAUGGUGAACCGUGGAGCAUGAGCCACUAUGGGAGAGCUCCCUGUGGGCCUCCCUCACAGCUCCUUUGUGGGGUGUUGGCACUGUAUUUCUGUGGUUAUGGCACAAAAGUUCUAGGGGUCAAACUUUGUCUGGUAGAACAAAGAGGAACAGAAGAUUUUACAGAAGAGCAUUUUGGAAGAUCCUUGUCUGUCCCAGGGAAUAUUUUCUGGCCCUGCAGAGAGCCACAGGAUUUUUCCUACCACACAGAAUUAAAAGGAGAACCUCACUGCUAUCUAUGCUAUUCUGAAGUCAUAACAAGAAUGAGGUGAAUGACUUAAAAAAUAUAUAUAUUUUUAGUAUUAAAUGGAACUCCAUUUACGUGUGGUUAAUGUUGACAUGAAAAGUAUGCUCUGGUAAAUAUGUGGUCUGAUAAGAGCUGCUGGAAUCAAAAAUAAAGGCAAAUUAUUAUCAAUUUGGCAAUUCUGAACAGCUGCCUAUUUUAUCUUUGAAAUAAAUGGCUGGAAAGAUUUUUUUUUCUUUUUUCUUUUUUUUUUUAGAAAAAAUUGGAAUUAUGCUACUAUGAAAGCACAAAAGUAUUCUCUCUAUUUCUGUCUGAGGAUAUUGUGAAUAUUUGCAUUGCUCUUUUUUGACACUAUGGGUAAUAGCAGAAGCAGCGUGGAUUAAACCUUUCUCAGAGAGCAUGGCAUAGACUGUAAUAGAAGUCUCAAAAGAAGAAAUGAUUGCUUUCAAAAACCUCAAAAGAUAUAUUAAAAAAAGCAGCUUCAUGCUUAUGGGUAUGGUAACCCUUGAUAAAAGGCUACACUGUCUUGGCUCUCAAAACUCUUGAAAUUAAAUUAAAUCCACUGAAAUUCUUUAGUAAAAGGCUAAGAAGUAAUAGCUUUUAUUCUGUCAGUGUGCCCUACUGGAUUUUUCCCUUCCAAACCACCUGAGAUCCUCCUCUUAAUAGCAGAGAUGAUUAUAUAUAUGUGUCCCAGAAUUCACAACAUUACAGCAGGUCAUCUGUCCAUUUCACUUCUUUCCCUUUUUGAGGUAGGGUGAACACUGUAUGCAAAGUACUGAGUCUCAGAAAUUACUCUUUUUCUGCCUCUUUCUGGCCACUUGACUCAUCUUUGCCUUCAGAACAAAACCAGCUUUGCCUUUAUGAAAUAAGCUGUGGUGGCAGUACGAGCAGCCGUGCCUGCAUUUUGCCCGUGCCAGCUCUCUCUCCGUGCUGCUGCCCGGGGCCUCAUGCUGAGUGACCCCUGGGCAGGCUGCAGCCCUUUUGCUGGCUCCUACAGAUGUGUUGUUAAUGAAUCUCACAUGGGAAGAAGAGGGGUAGAUGUAGUAGCUUUCUCCUUGCGAGCUUCAGUGAGGCAUGGGGGGCAGGUGCUCACCUGCAUGUGUCAAAUAAAUGCAACAGUGUCAAGUGUUAUGGAUGUUGUGCAAACUGGCUGUAAUAGGAACAGGUUGAUUUUUUUUCAUAAAGUGCAUAUUAAGUCCCAUGUACUCCAGGAAAAAAAACCAACAGGAGUGUGUGCUGUUACCCUGGGGACUGCUCUGAACUCUUACAGUUCUACAGUAUGUGAAACACAUGUUAUUGUAAGCAUUGAUGAGACUGAAGAAAUAACAAGGCUCUACAGCACAGAAACCUGUGUUAAUAGUUUGCAGGUUAAAUAUAUAAAGGGAUGACUUGGCUAUGGGAACUUUCCCCUUCUUCAGACAGUAUCUGAAGAAAGUGGAGUAAGUGAACCAUUGUAAGAACAGAUUGAAACCAGUGAGAACAAUGGCCAGCACAUGGACUCUAUACCAAUCACUCACCAAGCAGGGGGCCUUGGACCAUGCCAGAGGGUCACAGAGAUCUGAUGAAGACUUUCCUGACUUCACCCUUUGAAGACCACUGACCCAAUUUGAGACCACCAACCCAAAUCAAGAGAAGAAUUGUGCACACGUGAAGGACUAAGAGCUUCAUUUUAAUACUAAAUGGGGAUGGAAGGUGCUGGGGUUAUGCAUGUGUUUUGUAUGUAAGAUUUUGGAAAAUAAAUAGAGGGAAGAGAACUUUGUUUGGGGCAGUCAUGCCUUUUGGGGACAAUCCCCGUGCCGCCCACUGGUGAAUAAACAUACCACAUUUUAACUUUAAUUACUUAAAGGGUCUUUGUCUGUGUUCAUAGUGUUUUUUUAAUGAUUCACAUGGGCAAUCAUUGCCUGAUUAAAAUAUAUUAUUGUGUGUAGGCUGAAUGAUACUGCAGUGUUUAGUGGGAAAAAAAUUCUUUAAUGAAGUCUGGAGAGUUCCCAUACAAAAAUACCAGACACUCAUAUUCAUUCUACCAUAUUUUGCAGUGUGGAAUUUUUUUUCAGUGAUACUGGCAGUUAUGGAUCAGGGAAGAAUCUUCAGUGGAUGUAUGGUGGUUGGUGUAUGCAUGUGCUCAUGCAUCAUGUCCACAGCAAUGUUGAUGAAAAGCUCUGCCAGUCCUACACUGUUGGAAAAAUAAUUUUUAAGUCUCUGCCUCUCUCUCUGAAGCAUCUUCAGGAUGAUUCCAGAGGUAAGGAGAAACAUAAACAUGGGAUUCAGAUGUUCAUAAACUAGAAGGGGAAAAAUAUUUUUAAAAUAAAAGAAAAUCCCAACAAAAUAAAUCCAUAGAUUU